ensembl:lncRNA
GCAACUAUUAGUAUUGUCCGCUGCCCUGAGGGCAUUUAUCCUGCAGAUUUCCUCAAUGGUCAGUAUUGUAAUCCCAGGGUUCUUUGAUCCCUCGGGUUUAAUUGUCUCUUUUUUUUUUUUUUUUAACAGUUCUGUCCUAUGCGGCUCUCAAAGCCUUCUGCUCUGUUUCUUUCUGUCUGCCAAUUCACAUCCUUGCAUUGUGCUGCUUCUAGAACUCAAGAAGCCACAUGGUUCUACAUACUGAAACACUCUUUUGGACUGCUUGUCCACUUCACCUUCUGAAUUCUUCAUUCUCUAUACCACCUUCUUCCUCACUUUCCUCUUCUCUUUCUUUUCUCCCUCAGUCUCUUUUCUUGGGGGUUGGGUAGGGGAAACCUCAUUUAGCCCUGGUGCAGUUGCUGCAUAGGGUGGAGGGGGGCUAAUUAUUCCUUCCUCCUUUUCUUCUGGGACUUCUCUUCUGGGACUGGCAAAACUGCUGGCUUUUUAACUUGUACUUGCUGCCAUACUGGGCACAGUUUGGCAUGGCACAGGUAAUCACAGUUCUACUUUUCUUAAGCCAUGGGAGACGGUUAGGAACUCCACAUAAGUGUUGGAGUCUAUUUUUUCAUCAGGUUUUUAAAAUCCCCAAUCUUCUCCCUUCGUGGCAUCUUUUCAAUUUGUUCAGGAAAGCAUUGCAGGGGGGUCAUGGGAGUUGUUUUACUGCUUUUUCUCCAUGACCCUGGAACACUUGGACACUUGGGAUACUGGGACACUCCCUCCUCCUAACGUUAUUUUUUCACUCAGUCACAGGCCAGACGUUGCUUUCAACGUCUCACACACUCAAAACAUUCACUGGAGUGUCCCCACACGCACAUUCAGUCACUAGAGUAUCUUGACAUGCAACAUACAACAUACAAAACACACCAAUAUAAUUUCAACAUGUAACACACUAAACACACCAAAAUAACUUCAACAUGUAAUACACAAAACACACCAAAAUAAUUUCCCCUCCUUCUUCUGUUCCAAAUUUUUGCUGGUGGCACUCUCCUGCACAACCAGUCCCCUUUAUUCCUGGUGGCUGGCACUCUACUGCGCAACCAGGUGAGGCUGAUCAGGCCUCCCUUUUUUCCCUUGGGCCCCAUGCCCACCUGGUGGCACACCACUGCCACGCCCUUUUUCCCCUUCCUGGCUGCACCCUACUGCAUAACCAGGUGAGGCUGAUCAGGCCUCCCUUUUUUCCCUUGGGCCCACGCCCACGCCCUUUCCCUUGGGCUUACCGUUUUCUGCUGCAGAGUCCCUUCCCUGGCCAGUCCUUUUUCCUCCCUCGACCUGGGUCCUUGCUCUGGAGCGGUGUGGCUGGUUCCCCCCACAAAUUGGUAGGGUGCGCGCGUGGAGCCUGCAAUCACCGAUCCGAGCUGUCCACCAGGUCGAGCCUGGCUCUCCCCAGCCCUCUGAGGUGGGGCAGAUUCCCGGUCAGGGAACCAAGAUGUAGGCUGAGCCUAGUCCAUGCCAGGGAAUCGUUGGCCCGCGUCCUCAGAUCCAGAGAGAGAGUAAAAGAAAACACCAGGAAAGAUCCUUCUUUGGAGGAAAGCAGUUUUAUUCUCUGUGCACAGGAGACAGCCAGCAGAAUAAUUUCUGGAAGACUGACUGCCUAGAAAAUACACCUCUGCAGACUUUCUUAUACCUUGAGUGGGCUUUCUCCCUCCUCCCCAAUCAACUGGAAAGUUUUCAACUUAUUUUUAGCAUGUCUAUAGCCCUCUAAAACAGCCCUCCCUAUUGUUCCCGAUACAAGCGUCCUGCAUCCCCCCUGUUUCCUCCCGUCUCCUCCCGUCUGUGUCUUUUUUUAUCUUGCAUUCCUAAAGUAAGAAAAAGCGAGGCUAUUUCUAACUUACAGUCUCUGUCUUAUCUUGCAUUCCUUCGGGGGGCCCUUUUUGCAGGUGAAGUUAUUUCUAGCUAAGAAAUUGACUUAGACAGAAAAUAUGAAGAUCCUUCUUAGGUACAUAUGAAGAUCCUUCUUAGGUACAAGGUACAAGGUAUAGAAAGCAUAUAGAAAGCAAAGGUACAAAAUAUAGAAAGCAACCCUUCCUCUCUCCCUUCAGCAUAAGAACAUAGUCAAUUAAAAAUGCUUAUCCACACUCUGUGUUUCAUU